AGACCAAAGAGUUUCAGCAAGAGUGAGGGGGGGGGUCUACAAGACAGUCGUGAGACCAACUAUGUUAUAUGACUUAGAGAUGGUGGUACUAACAAAAAGACAGAAGGCAGAGCUGGAGGUGGCAGAGCUGAAGAUGUUGCAAUUCUCUUCGGGAGUGACAAGGGUGGACAGGAUUAG